UUUUUAUCAAAUAAAAACACUAAAAUUUAGAGAUAUUGUUGACUUUAAAACUGCACAAAUUAUGUACAAAGUAAAUAAUCAACAGCUAUUGAACAGUAUCCAAGGGUUGUUUCAAAUGAGAGAGAGCAAACAUCACUUAAGACGAACUUUUGUAUUUCAAAGGAAACUUAUAAGAACAAAAGCUAAAUAUCACUGCAUCACAACCAAAGGAGUUCAUUUAUGGAACAGCUGCAGUGAAGAGAAGAAAUCAUGUACAACAAUGAGCAAUUUUAAGAGACUAUUUAAAAUGAAUAUAUUAAAUGGAUACGAAAAGGACUU